rnacentral:rRNA from 1 species
UACGUAGGGGGCCAGCGUUGUCCGGAAUUACUGGGCGUAAAGCGCACGCAGGCGGUUUGGAAAGCGGCGGGUGCAAAACCGGGGCUCAACUCCGGCACCGCUCGCCGAACUACCAGACUGGAGCACGGGAGAGGGCAGUGGAAUUCCCGGUGUAGCGGUGGAAUGCGUAAAUAUCGGGAGGAACACCAGUGGCGAAGGCUGCUGCCUGGAACGUUGCUGACGCUGAGGUGCGAAAGCCAGGGGAGCGAAC